rnacentral:rRNA from 1 species
CUGGAGGUAUCAGAAGUGCGAAUGCUGACAUAAGUAACGAUAAAGCGGGUGAAAAGCCCGCUCGCCGGAAGACCAAGGGUUCCUGUCCAACGUUAAUCGGGGCAGGGUGAGUCGACCCCUAAGGCGAGGCCGAAAGGCGUAGUCGAUGGGAAACGGGUUAAUAUUCCCGUACUUGGUGUUACUGCGAAGGGGGGACGGAGAAGGCUAUGUUGGCCGGGCGACGGUUGUCCCGGUUUAAGCGUGUAGGUGUGUGUU